rnacentral:rRNA from 1 species
GACAGAGGGUGCAAACGUUGUUCGGAAUCACUGGGCGUAAAGCGCUCGUAGGCGGAUUGUUAAGUCGGGGGUGAAAUCCUGGAGCUCAACUCCAGAACUGCCUUCGAUACUGGCAAUCUUGAGUCCGGGAGAGGUGAGUGGAACUCCGAGUGUAGAGGUGAAAUUCGUAGAUAUUAGGAAGAACACCAGUGGCGAAGGCGGCUCACUGGCCCGGUACUGACGCUGAGGCGCGAAAGCGUGGGGAGCAAACAGG